GCCAAAUUAGCAUACAAAGCAAUGAAUUGUGAUGACUGGCCUUCAUACUUAAAAUUAGAGGAAUAUAUUCCUAUAAGACCAUUACGAUCAUCAUCUGCCCGGCGUCUAGUAGUCCCUAUUAUCUCUGGAACCUUCCAAGAUGAAGCAGCUCGAGUGUUCAACUCUUUACCUGAAGAAAUUCGAAACUGCGAUACGUUUAAAGAUUAUUGCAGAACCUCCUCCGAGUACUUCAAAACAUUAGUCAAAUACAGAAUUAGUGACACGUCGUAAACUCUGUUGACAUUGUGUGUAUAACUAUACUGUAUUUUACUGUGUAUAAGUAAUGUCAAUAGUUAAAUACUGUAAUGUACAACAUACUACGUAUUGUAAUACUUGUUGUGUCGUAUUAUGUACUCCGUUGUAUGUAUUGUAUACUUUGUUAUCUUAUAAUCAAACUCAC